GAGCAUGGAAAUCAAAAGCGGUUGGAACAACCACUGCCGCUGUCCUGGCUGUCAUACUGCUCUCUGUUUUUAUGUUGGCUAGAAAGAAGAGGGCUUCCAAGCAAUCACCUGAGCCUAAAGAGAAACCAAAACCCAGGGAACAGUAUCUAACUACUCAGAGAGAGCUGGCCAGUGAGCAGGAGGACCUUCACUAUGCCAGUGUCCAGUUCUCCAAGAAGCAGCCAGAUUCUCUCUCCAUCAGACCCGCUCGGCUCCACAGACAGGAGGAGGGAGACAGCGUUGUGUACGCUGCAGUCACAUUUUAGAGAAGUCAGACGGGGAGGAUUCAGCUGCACUGUACAGCACAAUCAACAAAAAACCCGCUGAACACAGAAGGAAUCUCCAGCCUGGUAUUUAUAUUGACUAGUCUGUUUAUUUAAGCUGGUAACCAUUGAUUGCAUAUAUUUCUUUGUGAGAAUACAGCAUUAAGAGAACCACAUACAUUUCAAUUUAACAAAUUUAAAACAAUACCAAAAUUUGAUAAUUCCUUUUAAUUGUAAACUUAAAUUAUUUUACAUGUCUUUUGGAAGUCUAAUUAUUUAGAAGUACAUUUUAAUGACAACCUGUUUUGAUGUUUUAGCCCCCAGCAGAUACAACCCUCUACACUUGAUUUUUGUGUGUAACAGCAAUCAAACUCGACCUGAACUUAACCUUAGUAUGAAACCUUUUCACU